GAGUUUGAUCCUGGCUCAGGAUGAACGCUAGCGGCAGGCUUAACACAUGCCAAGUCGAGGGGUAACAGGGUGCUUGCACCGCUGACGACCGGCGCACGGGUGCGUAACGCGUAUACAAUCUACCUUGUACUAGGGGAUAGCCUUUAGAAAUGAAGAUUAAUACCCUAUGGUCUAUUUGAGUGGCAUCAUUUAAAUAGUAAAGAUUACGGUACAAGAUGAGUAUGCGUCCUAUUAGUUUGUUGGUAAGGUAACGGCUUACCAAGACUACGAUAGGUAGGGGCCCUGAGAGGGGGAUCCCCCACACUGGUACUGAGACACGGACCAGACUCCUACGGGAGGCAGCAGUGAGGAAUAUUGGACAAUGGGCGAGAGCCUGAUCCAGCCAUGCCGCGUGCAGGAAGACGGCCCUAUGGGUUGUAAACUGCUUUUAUACAGGAAGAAACACUCCCUCGUGAGGGAGCUUGACGGUACUGUAAGAAUAAGGACCGGCUAACUCCGUGCCAGCAGCCGCAGUAAUACGGAGGGUCCGAGCGUUAUCCGGAAUCAUUGGGUUUAAAGGGUCCGUAGGCGGGCAGCUCAGUCAGUGGUGAAAGUUUGCAGCUCAACUGUAAAAUUGCCAUUGAUACUGGUCGUCUUGAAUUAAUGUGAAGUGGUUAGAAUAAGUAGUGUAGCGGUGAAAUGCAUAGAUAUUACUUAGAAUACCAAUUGCGAAGGCAGAUCACUAACAUUAUAUUGACGCUGAUGGACGAAAGCGUG
rnacentral:rRNA from 1 species